rnacentral:rRNA from 1 species
GACGAACGCUGGCGGCGUGCUUAACACAUGCAAGUCGAACGGAAAGGCCCUGCUUUUGUGGGGUGCUCGAGUGGCGAACGGGUGAGUAACACGUGAGUAACCUGCCCUUGACUUUGGGAUAUCAUCAGGAAACUGGGGCUAAUACCGGAUAGGAGCUCCUGCUGCGUGGUGGGGGUUGGAAAGUUUCGGUGGUUGGGGAUGGACUCGCGGCUUAUCAGCUUGUUGGGGGGGUAGUGGCUUACCAAGGUUUUGACGGGUAGCCGGCCUGGGAGGGUGGCCGGCCACAUUGGGCCUGAGAUAGGGCCCAGACUGCUACGGGCGGCAGCAGUCGGGAAUAUUGCACAAUGGCCCGACGCCUGAUGCAGCAACGCCGCGUGCGGGAUGACGGCCUUCGGGUUGUAAACCGCUUUCGCCUGUGACGAAGCGUGAGUGACGGUAAUGGGUAAAGAAGCACCGGCUAACUACGUG